UAGGGAAUCUUCCACAAUGGGCGCAAGCCUGAUGGAGCAACACCGCGUGAGUGAAGAAGAUCUUCGGAUCGUAAAACUCUGUUGUUAGAGAAGAACACGAGUGAGAGUAACUGUUCAUUCGAUGACGGUAUCUAACCAGCAAGUCACGGCUAACUACGUGCCAG
rnacentral:rRNA from 1 species